rnacentral:misc_RNA from 1 species
GAUGAAGAACGCAGCGAAAUGCGAUAAGUAAUGCGAAUUGCAGAAUUCCAGUGAGUCAUCGAAUCCUUGAACGCACAUUGCGCCCAUUGGUAUUCCGAUGGGCAUGCCUGUUCGAGCGUCAUUAUCAACCCUCAAGCCUCGCUUGGUGUUGGCGGAUCGCCCGCUGCGGCGACCGCUAAAAAUCAACGGCGGUAGCGCCCGUGUCCCCUGUAUAGUACAUUUCUUGCAGCGGUCUGCGGGGGCCCACCAGCCUCGUACCCCACCAAAACGAAAGUUGACCUCAGAUCAGGUAGGAAUACCCGCUGAACUUAAGCAUAUCAAUAAGCGGAGGA